rnacentral:misc_RNA from 1 species
AAAACUCAGAAUUUAACAAUCUUUUUAUUCUCUGUUGAAAUUUCAAAUUAUCAUAUACCCAUUUUCACUAAAAAAUUUUUGGUGUCAUUUUUGGUAAUGGUGUUGGUACAACAGGAAGACGAAAUAAGGGUGGGUGCAGGGAAGAAGGGAAUGAGGCUAGGGAAAUAUGAAGUGGGGAAGACACUUGGUGAAGGAAAUUUUGGUAAAGUGAAGUAUGCUAGACAUGUAGAGACUGGUCAAUCUUUCGCCAUUAAAAUUUUGGAGAAGAGUCGGAUCCUUGACCUCAAGUCUACUGAUCAGAUCAAGAGGGAGAUUGGAACUUUAAAACUCCUCAAACAUCCUAACGUUGUCCGAUUAUACGAGGUCUUAGCGAGCAAAAGCAAGAUUUUCAUGGUGCUAGAAUACGUGAAUGGGGGUGAAUUAUUCGACAGAAUCGUUUCCAAAGGAAAACUCUCAGAGGCCCAAGGUAGGAAGCUCUUCCAACAAUUGGUUGAUGGCGUAAGUUACUGUCACGACAAAGGUGUCUUCCACAGAGAUCUCAAGCUAGAAAACGUCCUCAUUGAUUUGAGGGGAAACAUAAAAAUAACGGACUUUGGGCUCAGUGCGUUACCCCAACACUUUAGGGAUGACGGAUUGUUGCACACCACUUGCGGUAGUCCAAACUAUGUCGCUCCAGAAAUUCUUUCUAACAGAGGAUAUGAUGGCGCGGCAUCUGAUACCUGGUCAUGUGGUGUUAUCUUAUAUGUUAUUCUCACUGGUUAUUUACCCUUUGAUGAUAGAAAUCUUGCCGUACUUUAUCAAAAGAUACUUAAGGGGGAAGUUCAUAUACCAAAAUGGCUAUCUGCAGGAGCAAAGAACCUCAUAAAGAGGAUUCUUGAUCCCAACCCGCAUACUCGUAUAACAAUGGCACAAAUCAAAGAAGAUGCAUGGUUUAAACAAGACUAUACACCUGUAAACACUGAUGAUGAAGACUUGGAAAGUGAUGAUCACGUCUGCACCGUGCAUGAAACGGAUGAUCACGUCUGUACCGUGCAUGAAUUGCCACUUGAUGCUCAAAGAGAUCCCGAAUCGCCUUGCCUUAUCAAUGCCUUUGAACUUAUAGGAAUGUCAUCAUGUCUGGAUCUUUCUGGAUUUUUUGAGAAAGAGGAUGUUUCCGAGAGGAAGAUCAGAUUUACAUCCAGUCUCUCUCCAAAACAGUUGUUGGAGAGGAUUGAGAAUAUGGUGACACAGAUGGGAUUUCAUGUCCAGAAAAGACACGGAAGGUUGAAAGUGAUGCAAGAGCAGAAAGGCCACAAAAACCCGGCUAGUCUAUUGGUAGUUGCUGAGGUCUUCGAGAUUAGCCCAUCCUUGUAUGUUGUAGAGUUACAAAAGUCUUCAGGGGAUUCAACAGUAUAUAGACAGGUAUAGCUCAACAUCCUCGUCUACGUUGUUACAACUUAACACAUGUUAAACUAACUCAAUCACUUUAAUCCCACAGAUGUGUAAUAGGUUAUCGAAUGAUUUGGGAGUCCACCGUAAUGAGGAGCUCCUACCUACUGUUUGUUGUGAUAGCUAGACCAUUUGCAGCGGUGACUGGAUACAUUCUUUCGUUCUUUUUGUUCCUAUUCUCCUGCUCUUGUUGAGUAGUAGCAGGAGUUGUGAGCAGUAAGCACACCCUUCAAGUUGGUUGGUUGAUUCAUCAGUUUCGCGAGAUUAAAGUGUACAGUAAGGAACAACAUGGCGGAAAUCGCCUUUUAAGUUAGUACAUUCAAGUAAAUCUGUAUCUUAUAGUGUCUAUUAUUUAGUCUCUAGGCAAAUAUUUUCUUUGGAACAUGGCUAUAGUAGCCUAGUUGAUUUGUAAAUUUAGCAAAAUUUGUAUUCUGUAGUAUCAAUUAUUUGUAACUUGGUCUUUACUUUGAAAGACUCCAAGCAAGAUGUCCUUUUUUGAAAAAAAAAAAUAAUAAUAAUAAUUUAAUUUGGUGGUCUUAUAAUAACCAUACGUGCAUCAUUCUUUAUAUAUCUCAGCUAUCUAUUGAAACCGACUUUCAAACUAGGAAAAAUUAAAUACAAAUUUUGUACUUAUUAGUUCUCUAUUAACAUGUUCUAACUUCUAAACAUAAACAAUAUCUCACAAUAUCUAUUAAUUUUAAUUUAAAAUAAUCCGUAAUAUUCAUUCAUAUAUUGAUAUGGAUUUCUAUAUAAUCAAUUUAUAUUAUUUAGCUACUUGGAACUAAUUAAUGAUACAGUACUGAC